GUUCACAUGGUGUAGCGGUUAUCACUCCUGUCUAACACACAGGCGGUCCCAGGUUCGAUCCCUGGUGUGAACA
rfam:Folsomia candida strain VT population Fcan01_Sc008, whole genome shotgun sequence.